rfam:Glaciecola nitratireducens FR1064, complete genome.
UGCUUCCUGGAAUGUUUGCGAGUGCAUUUCAUGUUCCUGGCCGAUGCUUAAAACUUCGGAAGUUGACACUAUUACUAUUGUGUAAGCUCGACCCGUAUCGAGAAACCUGCGGUAAUGUAGAUACCUCCACCGUGUCCUUAUCGGCACACGGACGAAAAGUGUACGGCGACAUUUUGGGAAGCAC